GCCGGCGUAGCUCAGUGGCAGAGCAGCUGACUUGUAAUCAGCAGGUCGGGGGUUCAAAUCCCUUCGCCGGCUCCA
rnacentral:tRNA from 2 species